UGACAAAUUGGUGAAUUGUGAUUGUUUGCACUUUGCUCCAUUGUAUUUUUGUGCUGCAAAAGUUUGAGUCAACUAUUUUUCAGUGUGACAACCAAGCAUUGGAAAUAAUCCAUUUUCUCAAAAAAUAUUUUUCAUGCUCAUUCAAGUAAUUUUAUGCAAAAAAACGGAGAUUAGGUAUAAUUUGCAAACAUCACCUUUUUUUGCUUUAACAACAACUUAGUAAAUAAGCAUGUGUG
rnacentral:misc_RNA from 1 species